AAAAUUUUAAGUUAAUAAAACUAUUGACCUUCAAAGUUAAAAAUAUUUUAUGAUAAAUAAAUUUUA
rnacentral:tRNA from 1 species